rnacentral:rRNA from 1 species
UCGGGAAUUUUGGGCAACGGGCGAAAGCCUGACCCAGCAACGCCGCGUGAAGGAUGAAGUAUUUCGGUAUGUAAACUUCGAAAGAAUAGGAAGAAUAAAUGACGGUACUAUUUAUAAGGUCCGGCUAACUACGUGCCAGCAGCCGCGGUAAUACGUAGGGACCAAGCGUUGUUCGGAUUUACUGGGCGUAAAGGGCGCGUAGGCGGCAAUUCAAGUCAUCUGUGAAAUCUCCGGGCUUAACUCGGAACGGUCAGAUGAUACUGCUUUGCUAGAGUGCAGAAGGGGCAAUCGGAAUUCUUGGUGUAGCGGUGAAAUGCGUAGAUAUCAAGAGGAACACCUGAGGUGAAGACGGGUUGCUGGGCUGACACUGACGCUGAGGCGCGAAAGCCAGGGGAGCAAACGGGAUUAGAUACCCCUGUAGUCCCUGAGCGGGCUGGCAAGGCGCAU